AUGAACGCUAGCGACAGGCUUAACACAUGCAAGUCGAGGGGCAGCACAGGUAGCAAUACCGGGUGGCGACCGGCGCACGGGUGAGUAACGCGUAUGCAACUUGCCUAUCAGAGGGGGAUAACCCGGCGAAAGUCGGACUAAUACCGCAUGAAGCAGGGAUCCCGCAUGGGAAUAUUUGCUAAAGAUUCAUCGCUGAUAGAUAGGCAUGCGUUCCAUUAGGCAGUUGGCGGGGUAACGGCCCACCAAACCGACGAUGGAUAGGGGUUCUGAGAGGAAGGUCCCCCACAUUGGUACUGAGACACGGACCAAACUCCUACGGGAGGCAGCAGUGAGGAAUAUUGGUCAAUGGCCGAGAGGCUGAACCAGCCAAGUCGCGUGAGGGAUGAAGGUUCUAUGGAUCGUAAACCUCUUUUAUAAGGGAAUAAAGUGCGGGACGUGUCCCGUUUUGUAUGUACCUUAUGAAUAAGGAUCGGCUAACUCCGUGCCAGCAGCCGCGGUAAUACGGAGGAUCCGAGCGUUAUCCGGAUUUAUUGGGUUUAAAGGGUGCGUAGGCGGCCUUUUAAGUCAGCGGUGAAAGUCUGUGGCUCAACCAUAGAAUUGCCGUUGAAACUGGGGGGCUUGAGUAUGUUUGAGGCAGGCGGAAUGCGUGGUGUAGCGGUGAAAUGCAUAGAUAUCACGCAGAACCCCGAUUGCGAAGGCAGCCUGCCAAGCCAUGACUGACGCUGAUGCACGAAAGCGUGGGGAUCAAACAGGAUUAGAUACCCUGGUAGUCCACGCAGUAAACGAUGAUCACUAGCUGUUUGCGAUACACUGUAAGCGGCACAGCGAAAGCGUUAAGUGAUCCACCUGGGGAGUACGCCGGCAACGGUGAAACUCAAAGGAAUUGACGGGGGCCCGCACAAGCGGAGGAACAUGUGGUUUAAUUCGAUGAUACGCGAGGAACCUUACCCGGGUUUGAACGCAUUCGGACCGAGGUGGAAACACCUUUUCUAGCAAUAGCCGUUUGCGAGGUGCUGCAUGGUUGUCGUCAGCUCGUGCCGUGAGGUGUCGGCUUAAGUGCCAUAACGAGCGCAACCCUUGCCACUAGUUACUAACAGGUAAAGCUGAGGACUCUGGUGGGACUGCCAGCGUAAGCUGCGAGGAAGGCGGGGAUGACGUCAAAUCAGCACGGCCCUUACAUCCGGGGCGACACACGUGUUACAAUGGCGUGGACAAAGGGAGGCCACCUGGCGACAGGGAGCGAAUCCCCAAACCACGUCUCAGUUCGGAUCGGAGUCUGCAACCCGACUCCGUGAAGCUGGAUUCGCUAGUAAUCGCGCAUCAGCCAUGGCGCGGUGAAUACGUUCCCGGGCCUUGUACACACCGCCCGUCAAGCCAUGGGAGCCGGGGGUACCUGAAGUCCGUAACCGCGAGGAUCGGCCUAGGGUAAAACUGGUGACUGGGGCU
rnacentral:rRNA from 1 species